CUCAGCUGCUUUAAAAUACCCAACCGAUGUCAAGUGGGGGUCACCUCCUCCAGGACACCCUGCAAUCCAGCUGUGCGCGUCUCACUUGGAAAAACUCACCUUCAGGAAGGAGCAGAGAGAUUUUCCACGCUCGGCCAAGAAUCCUCUUCUGCCACCCAGCACAUCCAUUGCUGAGCAGGACACCAUCACUCCCAUCAGCGUGUUGCCCUCUGUUCCCACGCCCUCAAGAGCAAAACAGCCACGCACAGCUGACCACAAAGCCUUUGGAGCAACCACUGGCAGACACAGAGCUUGCACACAUCCACCGCCAGGGACGUGCUGGGAGCUGAUGUCUCUGGGCCCAGGGCACGGCAGCAUUGGCUUCAGUGCUUUCAUGCCUCCUGACAGCAAACCUCUGCUGCCAAAGCAUCCUUUGCCCAAGGAAACCGUGCCAUCAAGCACAACGCUUUCUCCCCCGAGUCUCUCCAGCCGGCAGUGAAAAAGACAGACACAGCUUUCAGGAAGCCAAGAAACACAAACGCACUCCAUCUAGCAAAUAACCCCAGCACUGCUUACCCCUUCCUGAGGAACAGGGCACACGAAAGCCCACCCAGGAGCAGACCUCAAGCAGAGCUCCUUCCCUGCGGGCAGCCAGCCCUUCCGUGAGCUCAGGGCCGGGUGGAACCAGGCUGCACCCCUCGCUCAUGCAAGAGAAUCGCCUCCAGCUGCUCCCCACAGCACAGCAAGGCGGAAGGAAGAUUCAAGCCUGCGAAGGAAAAAAGACAACUCCGCCGCUCUGCAGCUUCACGGCUUCUCCUCGCUGCCUUCUGCUGCUCCCGGCAGCGCCUCGCCGCCAUUCUUUGCUCCUUGGAGCCCCUUCCCGCCGCUGCCGCUGCUUUCGGGGUGUCCGCUGCGCUCCCAGCACGGCGCCGGCCCCUGCCGGCCUCUGAUUGGUCAGCGGCAUUUCCAUCCCGCCCCCGGUGGCCUCUGAUUGGUCAGCGGCAGGUCCAUCCCGUUCCCUCCGGCAUCUCAUUGGUCAGCGGCAGCUCCGUCUCGACCUCGCUGGCCCCUCAAUGGUCAGCGGCAGCUCCGUCCCGCCCCCGGUGGCAUCUCCCCGGAUGCGGGCAGCACCGAGACGGA
ensembl:lncRNA